CGGAGCGUAGUGUAACGGUAGCACGAGACGUUUGGGACGUUUUAGUCCGGGUUCAAAUCCCGGCGCUCCGA
rnacentral:tRNA from 1 species